UACUGGAGUAAUAUUUUACUAUAGGUAUCUGUACUUUUACUCAAGUACUUGAUUUGUGUACUUCGUCCACCACUGGUUAAACAUACAGUAUGUUUUUAGUGCAGGGACCUAUUUUAUCAAGUAAACGAAUACUCGAUAGCCCGGCCCUCGUCCAUAACUCACAAAAAUCUCUCAGGCAGGUUUUUAGAUUACAAUAUUAGGAUUUCACAUCUAAAUUAAUAACAUUUUUGUUGGCUAACUAACAUGGUUGACACUUUGAGAUGGAUAUCAUAAUUAAUAUAAAUGACUGCUGCAAUAAAGGUUAUUUUAUGGUAUGCUAUAAAUUGUUUUUUAAAGUGAAUGUUGGUUAAUUUUCUAGUAUUUACCAUACAUUUUGGAAAAAAUUUAAAAGUCUUUUUUCCAAAAAGGUACAUCUUAAAAGGGGGUAAUAUUAUAAAUAGCAUUGUCUUUAAUUUGGAAGCGUACAGUAAACUGUUACUUAAAAUCAUUAAUUGUUGCUGUUAUUUAUGCCUAAUUUCUGCUCGUUCUCUCUUUACAGUGACAUUUGCUGUACAUUUGGAAUUCCAAAGCCUGUUCAGACAAAUUACGAGCUAAGUCAGUCCCCAACAAAGGCAGUUAGCCUUGUAGAAGUCGGUGAAUUAACUGAUGAAUACCCCUUGGCUGACUAUUUGAUUGGACAUGUGCAGAUGGUAACGUUAAAGAGAUUUUUCUGCUGCAAAGGAUGACAUUGAUGCAGCUUGUGAACUUGCCAUCAGAGGACUGUGUAUCUAUCUUAAUGAGGACUCUAAAGAUCUCAUUCAGGAGUAUGCGGACAUGGAAGAAGAUCUUUUACAGUGUGCGAUUGAGAAGACUACCAUGGGCAUCUUCGUGAUAAAGCACACUGCAGACAAUGAAGCCCAUGAUGUAGGCAUUGUGCUAGAGGGUGUAGCAGUGCUUCAGGACAUCGACAGUGUGGAUUUUGCAACUUCAAUGUUUUUGGUCUAAUUUAUGCUCUUAACCUGCAGUACCCCACAAAGUUGCGUUUUACAUAUGAAAUUUAGCAAAAACUCAUCAUGGACUUGGAUGCGGGUGAAUUCUCGAUCAAGGCCCAAAAUUUCAAAUCUGAACUCCACCAGUGAGAUGGACUGAUUUUUGAAUGACUACUGAGACUACAAACAAUCAACCUCGGAAAAUUUCAGCAGCCUUCAUGCAAGACCACUGCAGAGGGUAAACCGUGAUCUUGUUGUUUAGACUGUUCCCCUUUGCCUGCUCUCGUUUCUUUAUCUUUUUUUUUCUGUCUGAAUUUGGCCCUUCGUUGGACUGGCUCAGAAGUUGAUUGAUUAGAGAGCUGAAUCUAUGAAACAUGGUUGAACUAGCAUAAAUAAGAUACUUUGUUUAUAGUUUAGGUAAGGGUCAGAUACUGUAUUUUCACAUUGUUUUGUAAUGUCUAUAUAUAAUUAUCUUUGAAACUAAAGCGUUUUUCUUGAAAUAACAUUUCCAGGUAGGGCUGCACGAUAUUGGGAAAAAAUGACAUUGCGAUAUUUUAUU